rnacentral:rRNA from 1 species
UACAGAGACUGCAAGCGUUAUUCGGAUUCACUGGGCGUAAAGGGUGCGCAGGCGGCCAAGUGUGUGAGGCGUGAAAGCCUGGGGCUUAACUCCAGAAUUGCACCUCAAACUACAUGGCUAGAGCAUUGGAGAGGGUAGCAGAAUUCACGGUGUAGCAGUGAAAUGCGUAGAUAUCGUGAGGAAUACCAGAGGCGAAGGCGGCUACCUGGACAAUUGCUGACGCUCGGGCACGAAAGCGUGGGGAGCAAACGGG